rnacentral:tRNA from 1 species
ACCCGUCUAGCUCAGUCGGUAGAGCGCUGGCCUUUUAAGCCAGUGGUCGUGGGUUCGAUCCCCACGGGGGAUG